rnacentral:rRNA from 1 species
GACAGAGGGUGCGAACGUUGUUCGGAAUUACUGGGCGUAAAGCGCAUGUAGGCGGCAGCGCAAGUCGGGCGUGAAAUCCCACGGCUCAACCGUGGAAGUGCACUCGAAACUGCGCAGCUAGAGUCCUGGAGAGGAAGGUGGAAUGCUUGGUGUAGAGGUGAAAUUCGUAGAUAUCAAGCGGAACACCGGUGGCGAAGGCGGCCUUCUGGACAGUGACUGACGGCUGAG